rnacentral:rRNA from 1 species
UACGGGGGGAGCAAGCGUUGUUCGGAUUUACUGGGCGUAAAGGGCGCGUAGGCGGUCGUGACAAGUCACUUGUGAAAUCUCCGGGCUUAACUCGGAACGGUCAAGUGAUACUGUCGGACUAGAGUACAGAAGGGGCAACUGGAAUUCUCGGUGUAGCGGUGAAAUGCGUAGAUAUCGAGAGGAACACCGGUGGCGAAGGCGGUGCUCUGGGCCGGAACUGACGCUGAGGAGCGAAAGCGUGGGGAGCGAACAGG